ensembl:lncRNA
GUUAAAGAUUUCUGCAGUGGUGAAAUGCAGGAGCUCCGUUGCUGAGAUCUCAUUGUUGGAGCUGGGGGGUCCAACUUUUACCUGAAGUGUGCAAAUAGAUUGCCGACAUUCCAAGGUUCCCCUAGCUGUAAAUAUGUGACUUAUCAAGCAUAGUCAAGCGGUAUCCCUACAUCCGUACAACAUGGAGUCUGUCGUGAGAAGCACCAAGAAGUUGUGUUUGUGGGGUCUGCUGUGGUGGUCGCUGAUCUUGGAGCUGGCAUUGGGGGGCAUUUGCUCAGAGGGGGGCGACGACGACGACACUGGUUUUGUUCUCUGGAAAGGAAUCCUUGUGGAUAACUACGUCCUUGUCCCGGAGUCCCAGCAGACACAGAGGAGUAAAUGAAAGACAUUGGGCACAACAACCUCUGUUUCUGCUAAGUGCACAUGAGGACUUUGAGGAGAGAGGUUCAUCACGACGCUCUCUCAUUGACGUACUUAAAAUGCAAGUCUCACAUCUUUCUGCACUUAGGACGUGUCAGGAUACAGAUGUCUGCAGAGUUCUUUGGAGUCAAAAUAAUGCAUGGCAGGUCUUGUGGAUCCUAGUGAUUGAUUGGUCUUCUUGGGUCUUUUUACUUGAACAUGUUGAAAAGUACAACUUUCCUGCCUAUGCGAUGAUAAAGAAUACACAGGAAACAUUAAAUACUGUGUGAAGGGUGGUCUGACAUGUUAUUCUGUCAAUAAUUACUUGUUAAGCUUCUUCUACAAAGGCUUGUAACAAUUCCUGAGGUGAUU